CGCUGUGGUCCUCCACCACCACCUGCUCCCCUCCCCUCUCUUUAACCCUCUCCGAAUCCCCACCAAACCCUAGCCCUCCUCUCUUCCUCCCUCAGCGCCGCCAUCUCCUUCCCCACUCCCCGUUCUCUUUUUCUCUGUGAACGAAACCAAGAGGAAACCCCACAGUACCUCCUCCACCCACCAUGGCGCCGCCGCUACACACCACCCCUCGCUGUUCUGAGGGCACCGGGAGAUGCGCCUCGUCGUCCUCUUCAACCUAGUUCAAGGAAUCGAGCCGGGGCUGGCUCAAUCAACGGCAAAAUCGCCGUUCCCUUCCCCAACUCCGGCGAGUUCAUCGUCAAUUCCGGCCGCUAUGGUCCUCCUCCGCCUGUGUUGUGCACAUCCAAGGCUUCCUGGUCCUCGUCACCGGUCUGCUCCAUCCGCCCUCCGGCCAAACGCCCGCCCAUCUCAGGCUCCCCAAGGUCUUCUGCGUCCAGCGCGCCGACUCUUGCGUCCCAGUUUGCCCGGAGUAACUAGAUCGGUGCAUGUCCAGAUUCUCCAGCAUGGACGUAGCCUUGAAAACUCGUCCCAGUCGUUUUUUGGGUCAAGUAGACACACGCCUUUUCCUUGACAUGAUACUAUCUUCAUCACAGUGAUCUGUUGGUGGGCUUCGACCCAGAUCCAUCCGGCGGGCCAAGUCCCAGGAAGCUUGCCAGCCUGCACCUCCUCACCGAUCCGGCCGAGCAGCACCACCUCGCUGUCAUGGCAGCAUUUGCUUCUUCCCGGAUAGGAUCACGAAGUGGCGUGGUGAGAUACGAC